AAACUGCGAUAAGUAGCGUGAAUUGCAGACGCUUUGAACGUUAAACUUUCGAACGCACAUUGCGCCGUAGGAGUCCUACCCUACGGCACAUCUGGUUGAGGGUCGUGAUCAAAAACAGCCGCACAGUAGCUGGAAUAGAACGAAUUGGUGAAUCACGAGUCCGGCCCACCCGUACUCGGGCCGUACGUGUUUUGCCAUUGUCCUCUUCGGAGGAUAGGUGAAUUCCCUUGCCCCACGGAUGGGCAUAACGGCUGGGACUAGUUCCGGCCUGUAGAGUACCAUACAUACGCCUAGCGUAAGUGCUCUAUGGGUGUCUGCGAAACAGCCGAUAUGAUCUAUACGUGCCGGGUUUUUGUCGAUAGACAAUCGACUUCCCGACCUCAACUCAGGUGUGAUUACC
rnacentral:misc_RNA from 1 species